UACGUAGGGUGCAAGCGUUGUCCGGAAUUAUUGGGCGUAAAGAGCUCGUAGGCGGUCUGUCGCGUCUGCUGUGAAAACUCGGGGCUUAACCCCGGGCCUGCAGUGGGUACGGGCAGACUAGAGUGCGGUAGGGGAGACCGGAAUUCCUGGUGUAGCGGUGAAAUGCGCAGAUAUCAGGAGGAACACCGGUGGCGAAGGCGGGUCUCUGGGCCGUAACUGACGCUGAGGAGCGAAAGCAUGGGGAGCGAACAGG
rnacentral:rRNA from 1 species